rnacentral:lncRNA from 1 species
GUUCCCAUUCGUUGCCCGAAAAAAAGGUGAACAGAUCUUCCUUUUUUUUUUUUUUUUUUUUUUAUUUGAUUUUUCUUCAUCGUCUUCUCUCGUAAUGGUAACUGUUUCUACUGUUUGCUGUAGAAACUUAAGAUUUUCUUAUAUUUUUUGAUGAUUUGUUGGUUGUGCUGCUGUAAUUCGUGGACUGCAUCUCAAUAUAUUUUGUUAUUUGUGAUAUUCGGUUGCAUGUCGGAUUUGCGAAAUUGUUUAUUCUUUUCCUUGUUUGUUGGGAAUAAAAAUUCGCUUUGCAACUGUGGCUUCUGUGUAGAUUCCUUGAUUUCACUAGUAAGUAUAUUUUGUUAAAAAGGAAAUCUGCUUCAUUUGUUUCUCUGUAUUGCUUGGAAAAUAGUGGCUUGAAAGUUUUCUUAUUUUCCUUUUUCCAUAUUGGUUAUUAGUGUUUAUUAGAUUUACUUUGUCCCGGGUUUUGUUAGUUGAAAUAGAGUAAUGUCUCUCUAAAGUUGGCACGAUCAUAAUCAAUUUUGCUUCAUUUGAUCCAUCUUCUACGUAAGCUCUAAUUGAUGUCCCGUGUUUAUAUUCAAGAAGUACCCCAAAUAUGUUGCUUCAGUAAACAGAACAAGGAAUUAGUUUGGUUGGCUAAGCAAUAUUAGUGGUGUCAUAGGACUAUUUAAAAGAGCAAUAGUAGCUUCUCACUAGUUACACAGAAAAAUGAAAAAGAAAAAUCAACUAAGGAUACUGUUCAAGAGUGUUUCACAUUGUUCAAAUUGCCUCCUAUAUUAUUUUGGGUAUUUGUUUAUUUCAUUGGUUGACUUUCAAUGUUAAAGUUGGAUCAAGGCUUAUUUUCCUUACACGGUUCUAUAGCCAAAUUAGACAACAUUCUUCGUUUACUCAUUAUUAUUCCCGCUCCACCCUCUCUAUUCGUUAUUAGUAUUUAUGUCGUUUAAAAUGGGAUAUUGUCUUGAAAUUGCUACACCAUUUUACUUCAUACAAAUUGACUAGAUUUAAUAAAUGGAUAUGUAUGAAUAACAAAUUUUUACGUUGCUUUCUUGAUUAGUUAUAUCAGUACUAUUUGAAUAAAUUCUAAUCUUUAUAUUUUUUUUAUGCAUGUGAACCGACUUGAGUCUCAACGGAAUCCAUUGCCCUUGCAUUUCCUCGGGAUCAAAAACCAUCUUUAUUUGAGAAAAAAUUUCGUCAAAUCUGCAUAGGGACUGGUAUACAUUUGUAUACAGCAGAUAUACAAAAAUGCAACAGCAACAGGGCUGAUAUACAGAAAAUAUACACCAGAUAUACAUAAACACAGCAGCAACAGUACUAAUAUACAGUCAGUAUACAACUGAUAUACACUUCCGAUCAAGCCCAAAACUGGGCAGCUUCAUUAAUGGGCCAAUUGAGGGCCCAAUUUUAAUUCUUGCAUCAUUUUUGUAACUUGUAUUGUUUAUUUGUGCUAACCAACAUAUUAAAUUAACUAAUCUAGAUAAAUACCCUAAGUCAUUACCAUUUUAUUUUAUCACGUAUUUUAGUCGAUUCAUGAUCUUCUCACUUAAUAUAACUAAAU